UUUAAAAAAUCGCGCCAUUUUACCCCAAAUUUCCCCCUGAAAUCCCUAAUCUUCCCAUGUCCGACAAUAUUUUCUCAGCUGCCACACUCCAACAAAUACUCUGCACUCCCAUGGCUGAAAUAACAACCCAAAACCUUUUUAUUACAGCGCCAACAAAGCUUUGCUCUUUAUCCAUCUAUCAAAGAACACACUACUCUGCAUCAUACACUGACGAAAAGAAAAAAUAUGGGUUUUGAGAAGGGAGCUUCAUUGUUGGAAGAUUUGGUAGAAAAAGCUGGAGGCUGUGCUGUGAUGGAUGGGGGUUUUGCUACUCAGCUUGAGAGUCAUGGUGCUUCCAUUAAUGACCCACUUUGGAGCGCUCUUUGCUUGAUCAAAGACCCUCACCUUAUCAAGCAGGUUCAUUUGGAGCAUUUGGAGGCUGGUGCAGAUAUCUUAGUUACUUCAUCUUACUAGGUUUGUUUAUUAGUGUUUUUCAGAUUCAGCCGAAUGACUUGAUUUGUUAGGCUAAUGUGUGAUCUUCUGCCUUUCAUAUAUUCACAAUAUGGAUAUGGUGAAAAGGAUAGGAGCUAAAUGCUUCCUUUUUCUAUGCAAUAGGUCCACCACUUUCUUGUGAAAAGUCAUGGAAAAUAUUCUGAUUUUUCCCUAAGUUUGGCUUAUUAAUGAACCAGACGGAAAAUAAUGUAGUUAUCAUCUAUAUAUGUUCAUCUGCAAUGAUUGAUUCCUUGGAAACAAUCAACAUAUCUUUGUAGAAACUUGCCUACCUUCAUAUUAGGAAGAGUAAUUUAUUUGAGAUUGUAUGGUAAAUGAUAAACCCAAUUUUAAUUACAAUUAUUCACACAUUCCAGAUUUUUUAAUUGAUUUGAAUCGAGCAAUUAGACAUAAAAGAGUAAUAUGGAUUUAAAAAAGAAGAAGCAAAUAUUGCAAUGAUAGUGUUUUCAUAUUUAAUAUUAUUUAUAAUUUUUUAAAAUAAGUUAAUCCUAGAAUAAAACUAUAAACCUCAUGUAUAAUGGUACCUGAACCUAAAUCAUCAAAGACCCAAUCUUAAGCAGCAGCUCAAAACUCGACAGAGGCUAAGGAUGAUGCUGCCUCUGGAGAGGUUGCACAAGCUGAAUAAGGAUGGUGGAGUUAAUAAUGCCACAGGAGCAGCAGUUGGUAGAGGCUUUAUACGGGAUUCAUCGGGCUGCUGGGUUAUGGGGUACAGUUGGAGUAUUGGUUGCUGCUUGAUGUUGCUAGCUGAGCAUUGAGAGCUAUAUGACGGCUUGUCUGUGCCUUGAGAUGCGGGUAUUCGGUGCUGGUGGUGGAAUCUGAUAGUCGGGCUGCGGUGGACCUUGUCACGGAUGUUACCAGGAAGGAGAUGUUGGAGCUCGUAAUGGCUGUUCGUGGCCUUUUGUCUUAGUCGUGGUGGGUAUUGGUGCGUCAUGUUCUGCGAGGUGCAAAUGCGGCAGCGGAUUUUGUCACCAAGCUCGCUAGGGAUUGCCCAUUGGGUUUGCAGCUGGUUCGGCACCCUCCUCCAUUUGUCAAACUCAUGGUUGAAUGGGAAGAGUAGGCCACCUAUUGUCAAUGACUGUUAACUUUGGUUGGCUUUUAGCCUAGGUUCAUUUUUGUUUUCAAAAAAAAAAAAAUUCAAUCUCAAUUUUAUCAUUCAAUCAAAAUCUUUAUAUAUAUAUAUGUAUAUAUUUUAUAGAUAUUUUUUUUACAUAAACUUUUUUUUAUCUACGUUUGUGGAUAUACAACAAUAAAAACCUGAUACUUUUUGAGCAUGCUUGUUAAGAUUCCAAUUGUGUAAGGAACCGAGAAGGGCCAGUGCAAAGUACAGGUGAAAGGAUUUCGGUCUGGUCCCAACUAGUUCGGGGUGGGUUAAACUCAAUACUGAUGGUACUGUUUCUGUAGGUGGUCUUAAGUCCGGGGUUGCUGGUUUGAUUAGGAAUGCGUUGGGAAAUGGGAAGUUGGCUAUAACAGAUUCAUUGGUGUGAGCAACGUUCUUGAAGUAGAACUGCAUGUUGUUUUGAAUGGCUUGAAGAUUGCCUGGGACAAAGGCUUUUAGCAAAUACUGUUGGAAUGUGAUAACCUUCAUAUUAUUAGCUCCUCUUAUUGGUCGAGGCAAUGAUGCAUUUAGCAAAGUUGAGGAAUUAAGUAGAACGAACUGGGUAGUGCAUGUUUCGUAUAUUGGAAGGAUGGUAAUGUGGCUAAAAUAGCUCUAACAGAUAGACCUGGGUUGCAAGUACCUUUAGACCCUUUUUCUGUUGUUCUUGACGUGUGGAGUGAUGAUGUUUCAGGCCUCUCUAGCUAUACAAAUGCUCAACACUUUUCCUUUGUAUUUUGUUGGCUUCACUACACCAAAACAGGCUUUUAGAAGCAGGUCCAGGUUUGCUAGCCUUUGAGACCAUUCCCAAUAAACUUGAAGCUCAGGGAAAGAAAAAGGAAGGAAAUGCUGCGAGAUAUGUGACGAGGUCACAAGCUAUUAAAAUCCUUCAAGUUAGCCUUUCGGAUUUUAGGAAACUAUGCAUCCACAAAAGAGUAUUUCCGAGAGAGCCAAAGAAGAAAGUGAAAGGAAAUCAUCAUACUUACUGUCACUUGAAGGAUGUCAUGUACAUUCUUCAUGAUCCACUACUUGAGAAGUUUAGAGAAAUAAGGGCAUAUCAAAGGAAGAUAAAGAAAGCUAAGGCUAAAAAGAAGGAUGAGUUAGCAAAGCUUCUUCUAUCUCGUGCACCUUCUUACAGACUUGAUAUGGUCAUCCGCGAUAGAUAUUGAAGGUGUUGUAGAGGAUUCAAUCUCUUCAAGCUGGAAAAGCCAAGGCUUAGCACUUCUUCAAGUGGAGUGUUUUUUAAUUUUUCAUUCCAUGGUCGUUUAUCUUAGUCGGAACUUGAAUUUGGUGUUAUUGAAACAGGGUUUUGUAGUUACCUUGUGUACUAGCUUCUUUAACCAUGAUUGUUAAUCAUUACGAGUUUUGUAAUUUCUUUUAUAUUUGGCCGAGUUAAUAGAGAUCAGAUGAGCUGUGAGGUAGAUUGCUCAUUUAUUUAAACAUAA